UAAUUGGUCCCUAACAACUCUCCCCAACUUAGCAUUUUGUUUGUCCCUAAACAAAAGUUUUCACCCUCACAACCAAAGCAAUGACACAAAAGAUUGAAACAAGGAUUUACCAGGGACAUUCAAAUGGUUCAAAAGUGUUUGGCAAUUUUCUCAAUCCACCUAUCUCAAUUCUAGACAAAACAUGAAUAAGGAAAAUGGUUGAGUGCAAAAAUCAUUCCAAGGAAUUCAAAGCCAUAUAUGUCAAAAUUGAAUCAAACUUACACACACAUCAUAAUACUGAUGAAUAACAUGAAGGGUUACUUUCACUCAUCCAAGCAAUUAAAUCAACAACAACUCGAAUCAUACGGUUAUCACAACAAAUACCAAAUCAUGUGAAAAAGGAGAAUCAAGAGGUCUUUCAAAGGUUGUAAUGUGGCUUAGGUUACAAGAAAGGAUAUGAUUAAGAGAAUUCAACAAAGUUGCCUAUCCUAAGGGAUCAUUCCCAAACAUUCAACUCUACACAAUUUCCCUUUCUUUGAUCCCUAUUUUUUUUUCUUAUUACAUCCACACAACCAUGAGCAUUUUCUUUGAUUUUUUUUUCUUUCUUUACGUUUUUUCUUUGCUCUAUGGCUUCAAGGGUGUUUUCUUUUUCUUGUUUCUUUUCAAAUUUUCACCUUUUCAUAAAAACUCACUUUUCCAAGUUUCUAAUCACUUCUCAUUUUACUCUCCCCAACUUUAGAUUCCAAAACCAAAUUUAUUCAAUAAUGCUCCCUACUUAGAAAUAAGCAAAAGGCAAAAUUUUCAACAACUCGAUUUGAGGUUUCAAUUGACACGAAAGAAAUUAGGAUUCAUUUAUUCCACAAUUUUCAAUUGAUUUUUCAAUGAUCAAUAAAAUGAAUCCUAAAAUAAGCUCAAAGGGGUUUAACU
rnacentral:lncRNA from 1 species